rnacentral:rRNA from 1 species
UACGGAGGGUGCAAGCGUUGUUCGGAAUCACUGGGCGUAAAGGGCGUGUAGGCGGUCCGCUAAGUCUGAUGUGAAAGCCCGGGGCUCACCCCCGGAAGUGCAUUGGAAACUGGUGGACUCGAGUCCCGGAGAGGAAGGUGGAAUUCCUGGUGUAGCGGUGAAAUGCGUAGAUAUCAGGAGGAAUACCGGUGGCGAAGGCGGCCUUCUGGACGGUGACUGACGCUGAGACGCGAAAGCGUGGGGAGCAAACAGG